UACGUAGGGUGCAAGCGUUAAUCGGAAUUACUGGGCGUAAAGAGUGCGCAGGCGGCUGUGCAAGACAGAUGUGAAAUCCCCGGGCUCAACCUGGGAACUGCAUUUGUGACUGCACAGCUAGAGUACGGCAGAGGGGGAUGGAAUUCCGCGUGUAGCAGUGAAAUGCGUAGAUAUGCGGAGGAACACCGAUGGCGAAGGCAAUCCCCUGGGCCUGUACUGACGCUCAUGCACGAAAGCGUGGGGAGCAAACAGG
rnacentral:rRNA from 1 species